GACGAACGCUGGCGGCAUGCCUAACACAUGCAAGUCGAACGGAACUUGUUGAAUGAAGUUUUCGGAUGGAUUUUGAUAAGUUUAGUGGCGGACGGGUGAGUAACGCGUGAGCAACCUGCCUUUCAGAGGGGGACAACAGUUGGAAACGACUGCUAAUACCGCAUAACGUAACGAGAAGGCAUCUUUUUGUUACCAAAGAUUUAUCGCUUAGAGAUGGGCUCGCGUCUGAUUAGAUAGUUGGCGGGGUAACGGCCCACCAAGUCGACGAUCAGUAGCCGGACUGAGAGGUUGAACGGCCACAUUGGGACUGAGACACGGCCCAGACUCCUACGGGAGGCAGCAGUGGGGGAUAUUGGACAAUGGGGGCAACCCUGAUCCAGCGACGCCGCGUGAGGGAAGAAGGUUUUCGGAUUGUAAACCUCUGUUGACGGAGAAAAAGUGAUGGUAUCCGUUUAGAAAGCCACGGCUAACUACGUG
rnacentral:rRNA from 1 species